GUUUGUGAGCAACAUGCUGGGACGCACGCAGCUGAGGUUCAUGGUUCAGAAGAGUGCAUGGAAGGAGAGAAUCAGGAGGUGAAAGAGGACCUUUCUAAUAUGAACAUUACGGAAGAUGGCAUUAUACAGGAGCAGGAACACUUGUGGACGACUAUAGUGCUAAAACUACUACUCCAUCCGUUCCUAAAUAUAAGUCUUUUAAGAGAUUCCACUAGAGAACUACAUAUGGAUUUUAUAGACAUAUUUUAGAGUGUAGAUUCAAUU
rnacentral:lncRNA from 1 species